AUUGAACGCUGGCGGCAGGCCUAACACAUGCAAGUCGAGCGAGCGGCGGACGGGUGAGUAAUGUAUGGGAAACUGCCUGAUGGAGGGGGAUAACUACUGGAAACGGUAGCUAAUACCGCAUACCAUCAGAUGAACCCAGAUGGGAUUAGCUUGUAGGUAAGGUAAAGGCUGACCUAGGCGACGAUCCCUAGCUGGUCUGAGAGGAUGAUCAGCCACACUGGGACUGAGACACGGCCCAGACUCCUACGGGAGGCAGCAGUGGGGAAUAUUGCACAAUGGGCGCAAGCCUGAUGCAGCCAUGCCGCGUGUAUGAAGAAGGCCUUCGGGUUGUAAAGUACUUUCAGUCGGGAGGCGUUACCGGCAGAAGAAGCACCGGCUAACUCCGUGCCAGCAGCCGCGGUAAUUC
rnacentral:rRNA from 1 species